rnacentral:lncRNA from 1 species
CCCGCGGCCCCGGGAGGCGCAGUCAGUGGGCUCUGGGAGCCUCACAUACCGCGCGAGCGCGCGCAGGGACACCGAGGCCCGUGGGUCGAUGUCCCCCAGCAGCCUCGUACAGCGAGAGGGCUCCGGGGGGGGGAGUGGGGGGGGGGAGCCCGAACGAGGACUCAUGGAGGGGGAGGAGGGCGCGGACCCAGCACGGCCGCCCCGCGACGGGCUGUAGCACCGCUGCUGCUGAGGGUGGUGACGGGGCCGCCUCCUGCUCUCCCCGCGGGCCCCGCUGCCAACCUGCCUGCCUACAAGCCAGCUAGGAGUGGGAUGUGCCGUCCGCGGCCACCGAGCCGAGACUAACUGCUUCGAACCGAGCUGCGCGCAAGCGCUGCUACUGUCGCCCCCGGGCCGGAAAUGACGGCCCACCUCCUCAUCACGUGGAGAGGCGGGGGCGGAGCGCAGGAGGAGUCCAGGAGGGAAGGUCGCCCCGGGCUGCUGAUCCAGGCAAAGCCGAAGAAGGGAUGCUCCGGAGGGGCGUGGUCUUCCGAGGCUCCGCGUCUUUCUGGGCGGGUUUCCCUGGCCUCCAGCCCCAGCAAGGCUGUGGGCCCAGCACUUCCAGAAUCCAGAGCUGGACCAUCGACUCCUACCCCAUCUUUUUGAAGCUGAGAAAACCGAGUCCCGAGAGCCCAGAUGCAAAUAUCCGACCCCAGCACCCUUGCUCAGGUUGGGCUCGUUCGAGAAGCCAAGCUGGACUGUAAGGGACCCUACUUGCUCCCUUUACAGAUAUCCAUAUAUUGUGGAGAAGAGAGAAAUUAUAAGAAAAUGCAUACAAAGCACAGAAGCUGGAGAUGGGUCAGCUGUCAAUCAAAGGAAAAUUCCAUUUUACCAGGAAAAGCAAUUUGGAGCCAAGCCAAAGGUGACUGUUUUUUGGGCUUUGGGCUGAUGGUGGUGACCCUGAAGGAAGAAGCUGGGUUUAUCUCUGGGACUUGGGAUAAUCAAGCUGGAGGUGGCCUGGCUGAUUUGAAGGCAGAAGGACAAUAGUCCCUAUAUCUCUCUCUGACUGGCUCUGUUUCAUGCUAGUGACUAAAUUGCCAUUUCUCUCAAUAUCCUCCAACUUAACACUCAUUGUAGAUAAUAGGGAAAUCCCACCCCUCUUACCUCAUCCUCCAUCUUUCCUGUUUUUCCCAAUAAACCCUUACUUGAGACAAAGAAAAGAAAGGAG